GGCCACCAUUCCUUUACCAUUAGUUUAGUGGCGAGGUUCUAUUAGUAACGUAAUAAAUUUUAGAAUAAUUUAGUAUUAGGGUAAAGAUAUUUUAAAAUUAAAAUGUAGUAGUAAUUAAACUAAAUUCCAUAAAAUGUUAUGGAAUUCGGAGUUUCUAUGAAAGGUGGCAAGUUAGGAAUCUAAGAUGGCAGAGUCAUCGCCCGGUUGAUCGCGUAUCCUUGAUUGUUGAAUCUAUCAGAGGGAAGUUACAAGGAUAAAGACGUAAGGAUUAUUUUUAUAUUUAUUAACCAUUACCAACGCUUCUUCUGCAGACUCGGUUUAACUCAUCGAACAACAUGGCAGGUCGAUUACGUCCUUACAUUAGGCCAGUACUUUAGCAGAUCAAAAAAGUAUUUAAAUGGCUCGCGUCGGUAACGCUAAGGAAUACGUCCGGUCUUCGGUGUAGAAACGUCCCCGUUUAGGGAUCUUUCUAGUUGGUACGCAGAUGUUUAGUUGGAGCUACAGGCAGGCUUGUUCGCUAUGUAUCACGGUAGCCACGAGAUAGCUAAAGCUCUUAGUUGCGAUCAUUAUACUCCUAACUUGAGUUAGCGAUUACUGGCUGAAAUAGUUACUUUUCCCUUUUCCUUUAAAAUAAUUUGAGUUAAGUUUCAUUCAAACAUACAAUCAGGAAUUUCAACAUAUAAUAUGUAUAUAACAUAUAUUUAAAAACUGAAAGACGGGAAUACUAGAACACGAAUAAGAGGAAUAAAAAUAAUAACUACAGAAGAAUAUAUCAAUAAUGUUUAUCAGCUUUACAGAUACUAGAAGAUUUAGGAUUAACAAUCCCAAGUUAGCGUGCAAAGUUCAAUAGUUUUAUUUGUGGAGUUUGAGAAGUUUUGUGUGCAUUUGUAAUAGUGAUAUUGUUCUUUUAAAGAGUUAUUUUCAAUACGUGAAAGUUUUAGUUUGUGGUAUUUUAUAAUAGAGAAAUGAAUUAUAAUUCAUCGUAAUUAAUUUAAAAGAAUAUUGUUCGAAAAAUUUAGCGAAUUAGAGAGAAAUAAUCCGUGUACAGCGACAUGAUCAUAUCGAAAAGGUGAAAUAAUUGAUGUACAGAGUUGAUUCAGAAAUUCGAAAGUAUUAAUAUUCCUAAAUAGUCCACACGAAUUCGUCAAAUUUAUAUUAAAAAAUAGCUUCAAAUCGAAAAGGAUGAAAAAAUAUGCAAGAUAUGCGUUAAGUGCGCAGUUAGUGCCAUAGUGGAAUGUUUGGUUAGUGUUAAAUGAAUUUAAUAUUUUACAAAUUUACGGAAAGAAGUUACAGAAAUGAAUAACAAUAUAAUAUGACAAGGUAUAGAACAUGCCAUAAUGAGUUUUAGAAACAUAUUUGACUAAAUCAGUAUAAAAAUAUCCAGAAAUGAAUGCACUGAAAUUAAAACUGAAGAUAUGUAGAUGUAGGAUUUCGUUCGUGGAAAAUUACAUAAGCUUAAAUUAUUAUUCGGAACUAAUUUCUACACUUAGCAGAAUAUUAAUAAAAUCGCUGUUAGCAAAGAAAAUAAGGAUAAAUCGCUAUAAUCAUGAGAAUAGUAACACUGGCGUCUACGGUACAUUCAAGUGUAAUUUAUCAGAACAAAUGUACAUUCAUUAGAAAUCGAAAAUAAUUGAAAACACAGGUCCCAAUAUUCUAGUUCGAAUUUUUCGAAUAGAUUACAAGAUCAAAUUAUAAGAAUGACCGAAGUAUCAUUAACAACUUAAAUUGUCAAGCAUUAAUUAGUGGCCCUUAGUUUCACUCACCAAAAAUAUAAUCAUGGAAGUAUUAAGAGAUAAACGGAAACAAAACAAAGAUAUACGGAAGAUUUAGGGUCAAAAAAUAUAAUUCGUAAGCUAAUUAAGAUAUUCUUAUAUUAAGAAUAAUUUCUACUAUGGAAAAGAAAUUUGUAAGAUUUAAAAUUUACAACGAGGGUAAACCUAAACAAGGAAACGUAUAAUACAAUACUGUAUGUAGAAUAUGUAUAUAAUUAUUAUACGGAGAAACUAAACGGUAAUAAUUAACGGAUAGAAUCACUAUAAAUUUUAUAAUAACGAGUACGCUAAUACUUCAGGAUACCUUAUUUAAUUUACCAUAUAAGAAAUCGGACUAAACGACCAAGGUGAGUCAAGAGAAAGAGAAUGAUAAAAAUAUUUUUUGCAUAAAUUAAAUAUUUGUAUUAUAUAUAAUAUACUAAUAUUUUUUUUAUCUUCCUCAACUAUCUUUCCUUUUUUGUUUAGCUUUUUUUUAUUUCCAAAUAAAUAACAAUAUUGGCAAUAAGAAUAGCGAUUUUUUUAUACAAAAUCAAAUGUGCAUUAUUAACACAAAAUUUCAAAUCAUUAACAAAAAAAGUAAUUUUAACAUUACAAACGUAGAAUGAUAAAAUAUAAUUUGGCUUAAAACCCUAUUACAUUUUAAAAUAAUGCAUAAUAUAGUGCGAUAUUGGCUUGACCUUUUUUAUAUUUAAUUAUUUAAAACUAAAAUUGGUACAGCAUGGUCUAGAUAACACUAGGGAUAGUCACAAUUCACAGCUGACUGCACUGAUUAGCACUUGGAUGACCUUUGGUUCAUGAGUAAGGUUUGUUUUUAGCAUCUGCUUGUAAUAUAAUUUUAUUUGUUCGAUAUGUCACGUGAUUCGUCUUCCCUGCGUUGAGAUCCAUCUGCGUGGAUACGUCGUAAUUGUAUUACACAUCUUACAAUGCUUAUCAAUGCUACAUAUAUUUUUCAAAUAAUCGAAUUUAUUUCAGAGAGUGGAAAUAAUAAUAAUUAAUGUUAUAGGCUUUGCUGGGAUUAUUUGUGGUGAUUAACAGUUGUCUUUGGAUCUUGCCUAUAACGUUGUAAUUGAAUGAGCAUGAGAUUAGGAGGGACUGGAUUAGUCACAUUCGCGAGUGGUUUUUAAAAUGUUGCUAUGAAAGUGUGAAAAGGCUUGGAUCUUAGUAGCGCAUUUCUGCAAAUAUAUCUAAAUUUGACGCUUUUCACGCCUUUGACAAUUGUUAGGAUAUCAUGUCAUGAUUCAGUCAUCGGUGUUCAUACGGGUAUGUAACUUUUAUUAAGUAACAAAUUAAUAACGAAUACUCUGUCGCCCUUUUUCAAUGGUUUCUAUAUAGUUAUUUACCUCACAAAAUUAAUAACAAUUUACAUACUCGCUGUACUUAAUGUGAAAUGGUUUUAUAUAAUAAAUUAUGUUGUGUUUAAAAUAUGUUUUUGAUGCAAUUAUAAAUAUAAUUUUAUUUCAGUUUGUGUAUCAAUUACACUGUUAUUUUGGUAUUGUAGUUUUUUACUCAUAAUACUGGUGAAAAUAAAAUUUGCUUUGACAUUUCUUGAAUUUUAAUUUCAUAAUACAGCACGACUAGGUCAUUAAUGUUUUGUUUUCAGCUAAACUAAUCAGAAUUUAGAAAAAACAAAUUUUCUACAUUGCAAUGAAUAUUAUUACAUUAUUUACACACUAGAAUAAAUGGAUUUUUACACGGAGAAGAUUGUUCCUGCACCAUAUUGCUUUUGAAUCCACGUUUCUUAUCAUUAUGCCAGUUUGUUUCUUCGCAUUAUAGUCUAGUCGUCUGUAAGCUCAGAAAAUACCCACAAAGCUUGAGUCACGUGGUUUGUUUGUGGUUCCGUGUAACAAUUGUGAAACAAUAUAAAACCGCAAUACGCUAACUGAUCCGAAGCGUUACUACUUAUGUAACCUGUUGCUGCUUCCAUGCAUCGUCCAAGUCUUCUUAAAAAUAGACGUGCUUUUAUUUGCAUUACAAUGAUUUUUAUGUUUGUAGACACAGUUAAUUUUGAUUAUAAAAUUUUCUGUGAUCGUUUAUAAAAUGCACCAACAAUUAUUUGUGGCUAACUUUAACAUGUGAAUGAGCAUGGAGCUAGAUGGAAUAUGUCAUAUAAACUCGAAAUUUCUUGCAGGUUUAGAUGGUGUGUGAUAGUAAACAUUUCUUGUCACUUUAUUAUUCUUAUAUAUGGCACAUACAUCGAUGUUGGGUUCCCUAGAGGCAAUGCAAGAUUUUCAUGAAUACAAUAUGUGCUUAAGUUAUUGUUCAUAUUAAUGCUACUCAUCGGUGUUUAUGUAAUAUAUUGAAGAUCUUUUAUCCCUCAUUGUAUUAAAUGCUUUUUAUUUUUAAUAGAGCUUUAAUAAUUUGUGGAAUGUCACUGAUACUCUUUUCAUAAUAUUGCUGUGGUGAUUCGUCUCUUAUUAGUGAAAAUGUAAGGUUCCAAAAUUAGUGUUUGUAGCCAUAACACUUUUUUUUGAUUCCUGGCAUAUGUUGUCGAUAUUUUGUAUAUGUUAUAUAAUAGUUAACGCUCCAGUGUAGCGAGUUGGUUACUCUAUACAAGAAGAAAUGCUUUGGGAGAAUGAAACGUAGGAUCACAAUGUGUGCGAACGAGCUAUCGCUUGAAAAUAAAUUCACUUAAAUUUAUUAUAUUAUGCUUAAAUGCUUUUUGUAGGAUAAUACCUUAACUAUCCAAAAGGUUAGUUAAUCUUUGCAAAACAGGAAUACAAAAUUAAGUUUUAUUUUGUUUGUUGUGGUUAAGUGUUCGUUUGUCGUUUGUUAGUAAUUUUAGUUGAGUUUUUAGUGAAAAAAUUGUGUAUAGUGAAAAUUAAAGCAUGAAUACAAAAGUUCAUUUCAAAUUGUUAAGCUUACAGAUGUCCAUGUAAAUUAAAAAAAAAUGAAUGCUCGGGCAUUUAUGAGAUAAAAAUAGAGUUCGAAGUGAUAGUGGUGAUGGUGUUUGUGAGUUGGAUUGGAAGUUUUAUUAAUAUUUUUCAAAAAAAAGUUAGUUAUCUAUUCAAUAAGUAAUUAUAUAGAAAAUUGAGAAAAGUUCUUAAGUUGAAAUGUGGCAAGUUGGUGUUCGUGAGGUCUAAAUAGUUCUCAGUUCGAAUGGUUUCAGUUUUUUUUUUUACAUUCGUAUAACUAAAUUAGUUACAUAAAUGUUAAAACAUUCAACAAAUUCUAUAAAAUAAAAUAAUUAAGAAAACAAUAACCACUAUUAUUUACAGAUUAAUACAACAAUCUUUAAAAUAUUUUCAGGAACGUUAACUUUUUUUCUUUCUUAAUUUCCUUUUUGCAGUUUCAAGUUUUAUUGACGGCCUGAAAAAAAAAAUUGUUUAUGGUAUAUAUAAAUGUAAAACAAUAUGAAUACAAAAUAGCAAAAAUAUAUUUGGAUAAAAUGAAUAUGAGAAAUCAAUAAGUCGGUAUUUAUUUUCCGUGUUUUUUUUUUUAUAAUUAUAAACGUUGUUUACAUAUUAGAGUAACACAAUACGAAUAUAAUUUAUAUAUAAAAAUAAAAGAAUGCUAUAAGGACAUAUACCUUUACCCUUGUGCCUUUUUUUUUUAUAUUAUUACAGUUCGUGGCGUCUGUCGUGGGUUCGGUGAUCCAACCAGACUGUAUAAAGGCGACUGCGCAAAUAAUUUUUUUUUCUUAAAAAUGUUUGCAGGUUAUUAGCCAAUUCUGCGCAUACGUUUUACCUGUGGAUAUUUUAUUAUAACUAUUGAAGGUACAUCUGAACAUACAAUUGUUUGAGAUUAAUAACAAAUAUCCUUUCUUACAGAAAUACUUUAUACGUGAACUAUAGAUGCAAACAAUAUAAUAUUCAUAUUUUUUUCUACCAUUUAAAUAACUAACAGUUUAUUUUUUUGCAUCCAUAGUUCGUUUUUCAUUUAUAUUUUUAUGAUUAUUUUUAAUUUCAAAGAAGUUGAAUGACUGCACAUCACACGCCGGCGCGGUCAUCGCUUGACUACGUAACGUUUCACAUUAUUUUUUUUAUCAUUAUUUAGAGACAUCUCACAUUCUUAUAUUGUAAAUAUAAAAAUGUCUAUAUAUUUUUCUAUAGUUUAUUAAUUAUGAAGUUAUAAAACUGUAACGUUUUUUUGCGUUUUUGUUUUCGUGUGUCUUUUUACAGUUGACAGUCUCGACAAAAGUUUAGCGUGUAAAUCUGAUCAAAAGGGAAGCUGGUUACGGUAUUUAAUCAUGCACAAAAGCAACGAGUGCAAACGGUAUGAUAGAAUAUAACGUAAACAAACAUUCUUUGGCCUAUUUGAAUCAUUUUCAAUUUGAGCUUUUUAAGGCGCAUGCUGCGGAAUAGUUAGCAAAACAAGAUUUUUCAUUUUUCAUCAUAACCUAACAAAGCAAAAAGAAAUGCUUGUUUUUUUUUUUCGUGGCGGUACUUUUUGCAGUUCCGGAUUCUUUCAAUCAUCCUGCCGCCUUGUCGCGUUCUACGUUAACUCCCGAAGGAGAUGAUAUUAAAUUUUAAGAAAUAAAAAGACAAUAACUGGUAUAGUACUAUAUAGAGGAACGAUAAUGAGACCAGAAAUUGCAGUCACGGGCUUUAAGACUUCGAAUUUGACAGGUAAAAAUUACCUUUAGUUCGUGUUUUUAUAUUUGUUCACAGUCACCGGAGAUACGAGAUCAUAUAUCUAGAGAACCAGCAAACAGACAAACGGUUACGUUUAAAAUAUUGUAUGAAUAGUAUAAAAAGCCAUUGUAAUAAAUUAAGCAAAUGUGCAAGUUAUCUUCGUUCGCGUAUAAAUAAUUAUAUAACAGGUAAUUAAAUAUUAUUAUCAUGAAAAAGAAAAUUUUAGACUUAAACUUAAAUUUUAAUUUAAAACUUAAUUUUAAAUUUUACACACCUACUCUUUAAGCAUUUUUGUUUGCUUUUCUGCGUGCUGUUUGAUCUUUUUACAGUUGAAGAUUUGCGCACACGUCUAAACUACAUGUCCUGUCGUCGAAUUUAAUGCAAUUGUUAUAAAACUGGUAUGAAUACAUAGUUUGCUGACACCGAGUAGAAUAUGUUUAUGCCAAUGACGUGUUAGAAGCAUGACUGAAGUUAUACUAGACUUGAUAAUAUAACCCUUUUCCCCUAACGUCGUUUUCUUGUGUCCUUUAAUUAUUGUUUGCAGUUAUCAUGCGGGCAGAUAGCGGUAUACACUACGAAGUACAAGAAAUUUGAACCAGUUAUCCUAGACUAAAAUCUGAUUGCACUCGUAAGCAAAAUCUGUAGGAGCCACUGUACGAUUAAAUAGUAGAAGUGAUUGUGACACACGCAUGAUUAUUUUCAAUUACACUACACCUCAACCUAUAUAAAAUAUUUGAGUAUGUUUUUUCGUGUGCCUCUCGAAAUUUUUGCAGUUCAGAGAUUCGUGCAGAUAGAGAUAUUCUUCGGAGAAAGAAAACGAUCCCACGAUGAUAAACGACGACGGUGUGUUGGUUUACUUGCAUUGCCUGUGAGUUGUAUUUUACGAAUUAUGACUAUAUAUUUGAAUUCUACAAUCUAUCAAAUAUUUUAAGGCUGCGUACCUGUUAACGAAAGGUUUGCGAGCUGCACGCGCGCAUUGUGUAAAGCAAUUCGUUCGCUUACUGCUCGUGAACUGCGCUAGCGCUGCUCGCAUGCGCAACCUGCUAUAACCGACGUGAUCAAUUUUUUCUUUGCUUUUGACAUCGUCAAUAGUAACUUAAAAAUGUAGGGAUAUAGAACGGAGAAUCAAAGCGAGCGCAGAACGUGCGCAAAGCCCGCCCUACAUACGAGCGUUAAGCGAGCCCUGCGUGAGUUUGCAAUAGGUAAGCAGCGCGAGCAGCGCAUUCGUCAGAUUGGACGCAGCCUAAUAUAAUAAGAAACAGUGUAUCGACGCAGUCUAAUGGAUCUCGGGAUAUUGUCGUAUGUAUUGGCCAUGCCACAUAUUUUUAUAGACGUAACGUUGCUGCUGCUUUCAAGUAGACAACUUCAACAUAAAUAGGUAUUUAUUUUAUUUUUGCAUCUCUAUGCGUAAAUAAUAACAAAUCUCAUCUUUGUGUAGCAAACGUUAUGUGUAUGUGUUGUUAGUUUUAUCGUAAGCGUAUCGAUAGUAUUAAAGUUAGGUAUUACUCAUAAGCUCUGCUCGACUUGUCACGAAAGGUCCAUGAUCAUCUCAAAGUAAAUAGGUAUGAAAAUGCGAUUCCUUAAUCUUUUUAACAGGUGAUAUUAUUCGAUCGAAAUUUGAAUUACACAAUUGAAGUGAAUGUUUGUCUACGAGAAAUAUAUAUUCGUGUCGCCCUAAUUGGUACGUAACAGUUUGGUGUUUGAGGAAACUUCGAAGUUUGGCUGGUAGCGGGAUUAUAUACAAAGUAUGUAGUUAUUUAGAAGUAUAUUGGUGGUUGUUGUUUUCUUUUAGUAUAAUGCUUGAUUAAUAAGUACCGUGGAUUGAAUAGUUCGUGUCAGUGAAGGCAGACGAUCGUAAGUUUGAACACAACAUAUUAAUAUUUAAACAAAACCUCAAUAGAAUCAAAAUAAAGUUCCUAAUAUGUGUUUGGUCUUUAUAUUAAAAUAGUAUAGAUAUAAUAUAGUAUUAAAAUUAAUUUACUGUAACCUUAUUUAAAAAUAAAUUACAAUUAUUUAAAAAAUAAGUAUCAUGUCUCCAAAAUUAAGCUUAAGAUAAUUAUAUAAAAACAGUGAAACACAAUCUAUAAUAGCUUUAAGCGCUGUUAUCUAUGUUCUAUUUUUUCAGAUAUACAAGCAAACAUGUCAGUUCAAAACCUCUAAAACUUGCCACUUAGGAUAAAUGUAUUAAGGGGAGUACCUGUAAAGAUGUCAGGUUAGGUUCGUUAGGGUAGUACCUAAAGGUACUUACACAAACUAUAAAUUUUAUAUUUCCAAAUGAUUUUCAGGCUACAAUUAAAUAAAUCGUAAAAACCGGGCGAUGACAUAUAGGGGUUUUAGUUUUAAGUAUUUAUAAUGAAAUGAUAGUUUCGCAACUAUCCAAUUAGGCAGGUGUGUAUAUAUAUAUAUAUAUAUAUAUAUAUACUAUAAAUAUAUGUAUAUUAUAAAAAAUAUAUAUUAUAUAAACAAUAUCAAAACAAAUAAUUGGCUGAAACUCAAAUAAAAAAAGGUGAUUCCUGUGGAGUUUCUUGCGCCGCUUCUUCUCCACAGAAGAACACCUUCCGAAGCGGUAGUAGAUCUUUUAAAAUUUUAAAAAAUGUAAUCAAAAUAUAACAUUAAAAAUAAAUUUUAAUAAAAUCAAAAAAUAUUAAACUA